rnacentral:rRNA from 1 species
AGACGGGACCCGCACAAGCGGUGGAUGAUGUGGAUUAAUUCGAUGCAACGCGAAAACCUUACCUACCCUUGACAUGUCCGGAAUCCCGAAGAGAUUUGGGAGUGCUCGCAAGAGAACCGGAACACAGGUGCUGCAUGGCUGUCGUCAGCUCGUGUCGUGAGAUGCUGGGUUAAGUCCCGCAACGAGCGCAACCCUUGUCAUUAGUUGCCAUCAUUUGGUUGGGCACUCUAAUGAGACUGCCGGUGACAAACCGGAGGAAGGUGGGGAUGACGUCAAGUCCUCAUGGCCCUUAUGGGUAGGGCUUCACACGUCAUACAAUGGUCGGUACAGAGGGUUGCCAACCCGCGAGGGGGAGCCAAUCCCAGAAAACCGAUCGUAGUCCGGAUUGCAGUCUGCAACUCGAUUGCAUGAAGUCGGAAUCGCUAGUAAUCGCGGAUCAGCAUGUCGCGGUGAAUACGUUCCCGGGCCUU